CAAAAUUUUAUUUUAAAAUAAUUUCUUAAUGAAUUAAUUUGAUUAUUUUGUGCAGUAAUGGAUAUUAAAUAAUAAAGGAGAUUUUGAUUUAGUUAUUUUUGUUAGUAUUGAUUAAAUAUGUGCCAGCAGUCGCGGUUAUACAUAGGAUACAAAUAAGUAUUUUUAGUUAUGUAGUUUAUUUAUUAUUUUAAUUUAAUUUAAUAAUUUUUGGGUAAAAUUUAAAUUUUUGUUUUUGUUUAAAAUUUAUGUUAAAUGAGGCUGUGAAAUCUAAAUUAUUUAAACUAGGAUUAGAUACCCUAUUAUUUUAGACUUAAAAAUUUAAACUUGAGUAGUAUUAGAUAUGGUCUUGAAACUUAAAGAAUUUGGCGGUAUUUUAGUCUGGUUAGAGGAAUCUGUCCCGUGAUCGAUAGUCCACGUUGAACCUUACUUAAUAUAAUUUAAUAUGUAUAUCGCCGUUUAUUUGAAGAUCUUUUUAGGGAAAAUCUUCUUUAAAUUUUAAUUAAUUUUAUUUCAGGUCAAGGUGCAGUUAAUAAUUAAGUGGUGAUGAAUUACAAUAUUUAUAAAAUAAAUGAAUUAGAAUUUGAAAAUAUUUUAUGAAGGUGGAUUUAAUGGUAAUUAAUAAUAAGAAUUAUUUUUGUGAUAUUAGCUCUGAAAUGUGUACACAUCGCCCGUCACUCUCGUUAUUAAGAUGAGAUAAGUCGUAACAAAGUAGGUGUACCGGAAGGUGUAGCUAGAUUGAU
rnacentral:ncRNA from 1 species